rfam:Schistosoma mansoni strain Puerto Rico chromosome 1, complete genome
AUCCGGCUGACGAGUCCCAAAUAGGACGAAAUGCGCGUCCUGGAU